rnacentral:misc_RNA from 1 species
UCACGGAGCCCGAUCACGGAUCGGACGCCACCCAUAUGGAAACGAGCGCGGUGCAGGCCACGCGUGACGGCGUCAGCGGGUGGGCGAUCAACGGCGAGAAGAUGGGGACCACAGGCGUCGCCACCCACUGCGCGACGUUUGCGCGCACGUCGGGCAACGACGGCGACGCGCGCGGUAUCACCUGUUUUCUGGUUCCGGCAAACACGAAGGGCGUGAAGGU